CACAAAAAAGACAAGUAUUUCUGACAGAGGAGCCAGAGUGGCAAUGCUUGGUGUGGAGAAGCCAGCAAGACAGAAGCAGCUGGCAGCAUCUAGCUGGGCCCGAUAAAUUAGAGCUCAGCUUCAGUGUGGAAGUGCCACAGUGAGCAGCACAGUGUUGCACAGUGGAGGAGUAUGUGGGCCCUGAGCGAGCGUUGGAAGUUGAGAGACUGGUGUGCUGGCACUGCUGGAAGAAGGGACCCCACACCAGAUAAUGCCACAAACCUAAGCUAGCGGGGAAAAUUAAACCAGCUGAGAGGAAUGGUGGUGGCUGUGGAUCUUGGGUUGAGUGAAGCGUAAGCGGCAGGCAGCUCACCAUGCUUGACAUCAUGGGCUCGUCAAUGUUCCUGCUAUGACUAAAGCUUUCCCAAGCUUUCCUACAAUGCUAACCUACACCAAGAGAGGCACAUCAAAUGGCUGGAAGGCGACCAACAUCCUUUUCAGCUGAAACAACAGCAGUUCUUGGAGGGGAAGGUCUCUGUGUAAUUGGUGAUCGUGUUGACACCAGGCCAAAGAAAAGGAGAAUGAGCACUACAGACUGAAAGUAUGGAAGCAAACACGCCAGCGUCCUGAUUUACUCCUGGCCAAGUCUGGAGACAGCAGUUAAGACAGCCACCACGCCCGGACAAUGGACUCAGAUAUGACAGUAUUACUAAGUGACCUUUGCCCUCUCCUCCAUUAGGGCC